AUUGAACGCUGGCGGCAGGCUUAACACAUGCAAGUCGAGCGGAGAGAGGUAGCUUGCUACUGAUCUUAGCGGCGGACGGGUGAGUAAUGCUUAGGAAUCUGCCUAUUAGUGGGGGACAACAUUUCGAAAGGAAUGCUAAUACCGCAUACGUCCUACGGGAGAAAGCAGGGGAUCUUCGGACCUUGCGCUAAUAGAUGAGCCUAAGUCGGAUUAGCUAGUUGGUGGGGUAAAGGCCUACCAAGGCGACGAUCUGUAGCGGGUCUGAGAGGAUGAUCCGCCACACUGGGACCGAGACACGGCCCAGACUCCUACGGGAGGCAGCAGUGGGGAAUAUUGGACAAUGGGCGGAAGCCUGAUCCAGCCAUGCCGCGUGUGUGAAGAAGGCCCUAUGGUUGUAAAGCACUUUAAGCGAGGAGGAGGCUACUUUAGUUAAUACCUAGAGAUAGUGGACGUUACUCGCAGAAUAAGCACCGGCUAACUCUGUGCCAGCCGCCGCAGUAA
rnacentral:rRNA from 1 species